UCGAAAGCAUGUUAAAAAACCAGUAGAAAAAUAGGAAGGUGGGAAGGAACAGCAUUCCAUGCACCUUUGGCGUUAGUCAUGCUGGUCAAUAUGAUGAUGAAGACAUCUUUGGACAGCACUGGCUCUUCGGCUAUGAAACUGAGAUGAGCACCGCCACCUAGAGUCGGGAACGACUAGCACAUAUGUGUGAGGGGAACCUUUACCUUUACCUUAUGACACCCACUUGAUCUUGAUUAAUCUUGGAAAUCAAAGUAAGGUUGGACUUUGUUACUACUUGGAUAGAAACCAUGGAGAAAUAUGAGACUAGACUGGUACUUGGACAAAAUAAUCCCCAAAGAAGGCUAUGGCACAUUUGUACCCUGACCACUGAAGUUUCCAGGAAUCACGUUUGCCUCAAAAAAGAUUUUCAACUUCUUCUUUUUUUUAAUGUGAUCUCUCUAGAUAUCUGAAUGUAAACAGCUGCUUAUCAUCACUGAAUAAAUAGUGCUUGGUGGAAAAAGGUGGUUUGGCAAAGUCCAAAGUCAACCAUUCCAAUUCAUUUAUUGCUAGCAGGAUGCAGCUGAAAACAAGGGUUGAUUCAAUCUUUCCUGACUUUUACAUUUCAACAGAUAUUAUAAUCUUCUGGCAAGGAAACCUGUUACCGGCCUAUGAAGUCACUCUUUCUUCUGGGAUCCAGCUACUCCUCUUUUCAGGAUGCGAUAGCUUUGCAGCCCUUCAUUUAUACAAGGAAAAGGUGGAGCCUUGUCUAUUUCCUUCAUCCUUCCGAAAGGGCAGAACAAUUCCAGGAGGAACUGAAAUGCAUGUGAUAUGACAGGGGAUCUGGUUCGGUUGACAAAUGUUCUCCCAGUGCUGGAAAGAGUGGCUCCUUUUCCUUUAGAGAUUUCACAGGACCUCUAUUCUGAGAAAACCUGCUUUAACAUAGCUAUUCCAAGUAAAAUUUAGCAAAACUGUGAAGUUGAAAUCCCUAAAUGUUAUUGGGUUUCCGGAUCCUUGAUUCUCCUUGUCACGGGCUGCAACUUUUGUGAAUGUAGUUAACCACUGCUGUGGACUGCGCAAGAAAAAGUUGGAAGGAAAUCACUGUAGCCAGGUAUAGAGUUAAAAGUGUGUCUGGUACAGUUGGCCAUACACAAUUAAAAGAUGACUUCAGACAAUCAUAUACAGUUUCACUUUCCAUUAA